AUUGAACGCUGGCGGCAUGCCUUACACAUGCAAGUCGAACGGCAGCACGGGUGCUUGCACCUGGUGGCGAGUGGCGAACGGGUGAGUAAUACAUCGGAACAUGUCCUGUAGUGGGGGAUAGCCCGGCGAAAGCCGGAUUAAUACCGCAUACGAAUUACGGAUGAAACCGGGGGACCUUCGGGCCUCGCGCUUUAGGGUUGGCUGAUGGCUGAUCAGCUAGUUGGUGGGGUAAAGGCCUACCAAGGCGACGAUCAGUAGCUGGUCUGAGAGGACGACCAGCCACACUGGGACUGAGACACGGCCCAGACUCCUACGGGAGGCAGCAGUGGGGAAUUUUAGACAAUGGGCGAAAGCCUGAUCGAGCAAUGCCGCGUGUGUGAAGAAGGCCUUCGGGUUGUAAAGCACUUUUGUCCGGAAAGAAAUCCUUGGCCCUAAUACGGUCGGGGGAUGACGGUACCGGAAGAAUAAGCACCGGCUAACUACGUG
rnacentral:rRNA from 1 species